rnacentral:misc_RNA from 1 species
AGAUUUGGGGAAGAAGGAAUGGAAUAUGUUGUGGAGGAAUUUAUGAAGAUUAGGCGGGAGGGUAGUGUGGAAGAAUGCCAAGAUAGAUUUGAGGAUUUGAAAAUUAGAAUGGAGAAUUUUAUGCCGGGGCUUGGAGAAGCUUAUUUUCUGUCUGGAUUCAUUGGGGGGUUAAGGGAUGAUAUGGGACCUAUGAUUAGAAUAUUGAAACCUACUACCCUAUACCAAGCCUUUGAAAGUGCUAGACUACAAGAACAGUUAGUAGAAAAUACUAGAAAAUCUAGACCCUUUACUAAAUCCAAUACCUUUAAUCCUGUGACCUAUAAGUCCAUUUCAACCCACCAGAAUUACAAUAAUUCCUACAAACCCACCAUAGCCAGUCAAAGCUUCAUUUAUCCACCAAAACCACCAAAUAUUAAAACUCCACAACCCCGGAAACCUCAAAUCAAUAAUACCACUAAUUCCACAAUACCUAUCAUCUCUCAACCUUCCACUAAUAACUCUUCAGUCAACCAAAAUUCAAUUAAAUCCAACCCUCCAAACCAACAACCACCUGAAAAAAGAACCUUCAAACCUUGCUAUAGAUGUGGUGAGAAGUAUUUGCCUGGUCACACUUGUAAACCAAAGGCAACCAUGGCAAUUCAAGUAGAGGAGCAGGAAGAGGAACCAAUUGAGGAGGGAUGUUUUGAUAUGGGAAAUGAGUUGAAUUUGGGGAAACAAAUGGAAGAAAUGACACUUUCAGUACAUGCAAUGAAGGGAAGUCAGGGAGCUUAUACUAUUAAGGUGUUGGGAACUUUCAAGAAUAAGCGAUUAGUCAUUCUUGUUGACAGUGGUAGUACCAAUAUUUUCCUUGACAAGGAAGUUGCUAAAGAGUUAAAAUUGUCUUUAGUGGAGGCACCU